rnacentral:tRNA from 1 species
UGUUCUGUAGCUUAGUUGGUUUAAGCGCUGGAUUAGCGAUAACGGAGUCGUGGGUUCGAAUCCCAUCAAAACGA